rnacentral:rRNA from 1 species
CCCUUGUCUACCUUACCACUGCUUGCUUCGGCGGGACCGUCCCCUUAGGGGGGCGACCCGGGGCUGGCUUAACCGCCGUCCGGGCGAGCUCCCGCCAGAAGACACUUAAAUUCUGUUGAUCAGUGACUGUCUGAGAUUAUAUUUAAUCAUUAAAACUUUCAACAACGGAUCUCUUGGUUCCAGCAUCGAUGAAGAACGCAGCGAAAUGCGAUAAGUAAUGUGAAUUGCAGAAUUCCGUGAAUCAUCGAAUCUUUGAACGCACAUUGCGCCCUCUGGUAUUCCGGGGGGCAUGCCUGUCCGAGCGUCAUUUGCAACCCUCAAGCCCGGCUUGUGUGAUGGGUGCCGUCCCCUACGGGACGCGCCCCGAAGGCAAUGGCGGCGUCGCGGUUAUCCGAUCAGCCAAAGUGUAUGGGGCUUUGUCACUCACUUUACGGCCCGGACCGGCGCCAGUCCGAAUCAAUCUUUUUUCUAAAGUUGACCUCGGAUCAGGUAGGGAUACCCGCUGAACUUAAGCAUAUCAAUAAGCGGGAGGA